GAUCAUGGCUCAGGAUGAACGCUGGCGGCGUGCCUAACACAUGCAAGUCGAGCGAAGCGUUUUUAAAGGAAGUUUUCGGAUGGAAUUUGAAAUGACUGAGCGGCGGACGGGUGAGUAACGCGUGGGUAACCUGCCUCAUACAGGGGGAUAACAGUUAGAAAUGACUGCUAAUACCGCAUAAGCACACAGUACCGCAUGGUACAGUGUGAAAAACUCCGGUGGUAUGAGAUGGACCCGCGU
rnacentral:rRNA from 1 species